rnacentral:rRNA from 1 species
CCGACCUAACGGCUGAACUGGCAAUUUGGGUGAACGAAAUAGAAUUGUAUAUUUACUAAAAUAAAGUUUUAAGUACGUAUUAAUAAUGAUAAUAUGUAUACUAGUCUUGACCAAUUACGUGCCAGCAGUCGCGGUAAUACGUAAGAGACGAGCAUUAUUCAUAUUAAAUAGGUUUAAAGGGUACCCAGACGGUCAAAAUACCUUAAAUAAAAAGAAGUACUAGACUAGAGUUAUAUGUGAGAAGACCGUACUUGACGUGGAGGGAUUAUAUCCUGUGAUACUGAAAGGGGAUGAGAUAAGGCGCAAGGGCUGUCUUAUGUGUAAAACGAGAUUUGGGGGGCAAGCGUAUAGAACGAACAGGAUUUGACACCCUAGUAGUCUUUGCAGACAAUGAUGAAUGCCAUAGAUUAGAUUGAUCUAAAUUUAGUCUAUAAAUGAAAAUGAAAGCAUUUCACCCUCAAGAGUAAUUGUGGCAACGCAGGAACUGAAA